rnacentral:rRNA from 1 species
UACGUAGGGCGCAAGCGUUGUCCGGAAUUAUUGGGCGUAAAGAGCGUGUAGGCGGCCAAGCAGGUCCGCUGUGAAAACUCGAGGCUCAACCUCGAGACGUCGGUGGAAACCGUUUGGCUAGAGUCCGGAAGAGGAGAGUGGAAUUCCCGGUGUAGCGGUGAAAUGCGCAGAUAUCGGGAAGAACACCAAUGGCGAAGGCAGCUCUCUGGGACGGUACUGACGCUGAGACGCGAAAGCGUGGGGAGCGAACAGG